AGUCCGGCGAGCGACGCGCGGCGGGGCGGCGGGAGGAAACGCGGCGCCGGGCCGGGCCCUGGAGAUGGUCCCCGGCGCCGCGGGCUGGUGUUGUCUCGUGCUCUGGCUCCCUGUGUGCGUCGCGGCCCACGGCUUCCGUAUCCAUGAUUAUUUGUACUUUCAAGUGCUGAGUCCUGGGGACAUUCGAUACAUCUUCACAGCCACACCUGCCAAGGACUUUGGUGGUAUCUUUGUAAGUUAAGGGAGGCCCCUGAUCUCUGAUCCUCAACCUCCUCCUUCCCCUCACUGAGCUGCAGUGACCCUCUCAUCCCACCUGAGUGCUGGGACAGGGAAGGGAGCAGAAUCAGCUCUGCCUUCCAUGAGCUGCAGCACAGAAAGGAAGCGCUUCCAGCUACUCCCCUGAGUAUAAUAUAAACCUAGGCACCAUGGAGGGACAAGUUAUCUUUUUAGGGGACAUGAAGUGAAAAGCCAAGAGCACCAGUUUCCUCUGCCAGCUCUACCUCUGAACUAUGUGACUUAAGGCACAUCACUUCCUCUCUCUGGAUC
rnacentral:sRNA from 1 species